rnacentral:rRNA from 1 species
CCUACGGGUGGCAGCAGUGAGGAAUAUUGCACAAUGGGCUUACGCCUGAACCAGCCAAGUCGCGUGAGGGAAGAAUGCCCUAUGGGUUGUAAACCUCUUUUGUCAGGGAGCAAUUGGCGCUACGUGUAGCGUUAUCGAGAGUAACUGAUGACAAAGCAUCGGCUAACUCAGUGACAGCAGACGCGGUAGGACGGAGGAUCCGAGCGUUUUCCGGAUUUAAUGGGUGUAAAGGGAGCGUAGGUGGUUUGUUAAGUCAGUUGUGAAAGUUUGGGGCUCAACCGGAGAAUGGAAGUUGAUACUGGCAGUCUUGAGGACAGUAGAGGGGGGCGGAAUUCGUGGUGUAGCGGUGAAAUGCUUAGAGAUCACGAGGAACACCGGUGGCGAAGGCAGUUCACUGGACGGCAACUGACACUGAGGCUCGAAAGUGUGGGGAGCAAACAGGAUUAGAUACCCUAGUAGUC